rnacentral:rRNA from 1 species
GGCAACUCCAGUCAGUGGCGAACGGGUGAGUAAUACAUCGGAACGUGCCCCGUUGUGGGGGAUAACCCACCGAAAGGUGGGCUAAUACCGCAUACGCCCUGAGGGGGAAAGCGGGGGACCGCAAGGCCUCGCGCGAUGGGAGCGGCCGAUGUCGGAUUAGCUAGUAGGUUGGGUAAAGGCUGACCUAGGCGACGAUCCGUAGCUGGUCUGAGAGGAUGAUCAGCCACACUGGGACUGAGACACGGCCCAGACUCCUACGGGAGGCAGCAGUGGGGAAUUUUGGACAAUGGGCGCAAGCCUGAUCCAGCCAUGCCGCGUGAGUGAAGAAGGCCUUCGGGUUGUAAAGCUCUUUCGGCCGGAACGAAAUCGCCUCUUUUAAUACGGGGGGUGGAUGACGGUACCGGAAGAAGAAGCACCGGCUAACUACGUGCCAGCAGCCGCGGUAAUACGUAGGGUGCGAGCGUUAAUCGGAAUUACUGGGCGUAAAGCGUGCGCAGGCGGCUCUUUAAGUCAGAUGUGAAAGCCCCGGGCUUAACCUGGGAACUGCGUUUGAAACUGGAGGGCUGGAGUGUGGCAGAGGGAGGUGGAAUUCCACGUGUAGCAGUGAA